CAUGAUGUUGUCCACAAUCCACUGUCCAGGGAGGAAGUCCCGCUUGUGGAGACACAGGGUCAAUGGCCGGGCAGUUCUGUAAUUCGCAGCGUCUCCAUCGAUCUCCCUGUAGAAGUGUGCACAAGAAAACAGAUGCACUGAUUGCCUACCUGCCCUCGCCCGUCAGCGUGACGCCAUCAACUGAUAAGGAGCACUGCACGGACGAGAGGACCUUAAAGUGCUCGGAAAAAAAUGGAUGUUUGCACAUCAAUUUGGAAAACUCCAUCUGCUAAUGAAGUCCAUGUGAUGUGAUCAAAAGCUCCAGAACAGCACCUACUCAUAGCUUAGAGACUGACUCGCUAUAUCCCAAUAAACACCCAUCAGCGUUACCAUGGAGAUUCAGAGCCCUCAGUUGCAUGUGGCCGGUCAGGUCGUCAUCGGUCACUACGGUGAUGUUGUUGAAGGAGAGAUCCAGAGUAAGAGCACGGU